rnacentral:rRNA from 1 species
UAGUCAAUGCUCGUAAGAGUGAACUAGCUAACUGAAAUCAAAGAGUUUAUUUAAACUCCUGAUGUCGUAAGGGAAAAUAAUGAUAAUACCUUACUAUUAGUGUCGUCCAAACCUGGUGCCAGAAGACUCGGUAAGACCAGAGACGCAAACGUUAAUCAUCAUAAUCAGGCGUAAAGGGUUUGUAGGCAGCUUUCUUAAAAAAUAAAAUAAAUUAGUUUAAUUGAAAGCUAGAAUCAAAAAGAGGUUAUAGUGUAUAACGCCUAGAGGAGGGCUGAUAUCCGUAGAUCCUAGGCAGAAUACUAAGGGCGAAGGCCACUCUCCACUAGUGAUUGACGCUGAGAAACGAAGGUUAGGGUAGGAAAUAGGAUUAGAUACCCCGGUACUCCUUUCUGUAAACGAUGAAUGGUAGUCAUUAGUUUUUAACUAGAGACGAAGUUAACACAAUAACCAUUCCGCCUUGUGAGUACUACUGCAAAGUAGAAAACAAAAAAAUUAGUCGGUCUCGAAGCAAACGGAGUGAAGCAUGUUAUUUAAU